rnacentral:rRNA from 1 species
AUUGAACGCUGGCGGCAGGCCUAACACAUGCAAGUCGAACGGUAACAGGAAGCAGCUUGCUGCUUUGCUGACGAGUGGCGGACGGGUGAGUAAUGUCUGGGAAACUGCCCGAUGGAGGGGGAUAACUACUGGAAACGGUAGCUAAUACCGCAUAACGUCGAAAGCCCAAAGAGGGGGACCUUAGGGCCUCUUGCCAUCGGAUGUGCCCAGAUGGGAUUAGCUAGUAGGUGGGGUAACGGCUCACCUAGGCGACGAUCCCUAGCUGGUCUGAGAGGAUGACCAGCCACACUGGAACUGAGACACGGUCCAGACUCCUACGAGAGGCAGCAGUGGGGAAUAUUGCACAAUGGGCGCAAGCCUGGUGCAGCCAUGCCGCGUGUAUGAAGAAGGCCUUCGGGUUGUAAAGUACUUUCAGCGGGGAGGAAGGGAGUAAAGUUGAUACCUUUGCUCAUUGACGUUACCCGCAGAAGAAGCACCGGCUAACUCCGUG